rnacentral:rRNA from 1 species
UACAGAGGGUGCGAGCGUUGUCCGGAAUCACUGGGCGUAAAGGGAGCGUAGGCGGCGUGGUAAGUCAGAUGUGAAAUCCCGGGGCUCAACCCCGGAACUGCAUCCGAUACUGCCAUGCUAGAGGAUUGGAGAGGUAGCUGGAAUUCUUGGUGUAGCAGUGAAAUGCGUAGAGAUCAAGAGGAACACUCGUGGCGAAAGCGAGCUACUGGACAAUUCCUGACGCUGAGGCUCGAAGGCUAGGGUAGCGAAAGGG